UAGGGAAUCUUCCACAAUGGGCGAAGCCUGAUGGAGCAACGCCGCGUGUGUGAUGAAGGGUUUCGGCUCGUAAAACUCUGUUGUUAAAGAAGAACAUAUCUGAGAGUAACUGUUCAGGUAUUGACGGUAUUUAACCAGAAAGCCACGGCUAACUACGUGCCAG
rnacentral:rRNA from 1 species